CUACAAGAUCAUGACCUGAGCCGACCUGAGCCGAAGUCAGACACUUAACCGACUGAGCCCCCCAGGUGCCCCUGAAUACUUUUUAAAAAAUCAACUCGCUUUUCAAAAACGAAGGCUGUUUUGGAAGGACGAUUGAACAUAGACAGGAAGUGGGAAGUACUCACACCGAACCCAGGGCCAUGUUCAAGUGCAGGUAGGCACGUUACCUGCUAAGCCUGUUCUUUCAAAGUGGGGAGAUUAGUAGGUCUUAGGGGGGCACGAAGGACGUACAAACAACAAAAAGACUUUCCCUUUGGCCUAAUCGGGACUGAAAGAUCAUUGAAAGGGGACUCACAUGAUCUGCGAGUCACUGUUACGUGAUACGUGCCCCUCCUGAAUCAUCUUCCCUCCUCUCCUGCAGCUUGGGACUUAAAUAUCACCUCCCAGUGAGGCCUCUCCCAGCCCCUCAUCUAAGUGGGACCAGCCCUGCCUUCCCAUUUCCCAAUUUCCCAUCACUCCUUUAUUUUUCUCUUUAGCACUGAACACCAGCAGAUAUCCUACUCACUGUAUUUUCCUUGCCUUCUGUCUGUCACCCCACCUAGAGUGCACGCUCUUAAUGGACCAGCACUACCAGGAAAGGACCUGGAACCUAGGAGGCAUUCAGUAAAUACCCGCCGAACGAAUCGACCGUCUCCAAGGGCCGAAAGAACGGAGCCUUUGCCAAGAAAAGAGGCUGAAUUCUCAGGCCCUCCACUUCAGAUCGAAUGGUGCUGCUUUACCAGGGAAAGAAAGCAGCGGUCGAGAGUGGAAAUCUCCACUCAGGGACGGGCCUCCUCUCUGUGCUAGAAUCAGGAGAACGCCACAGGAAAGGAGGCUGCCCAAGGGUCGGGAGGUCCGGUCACUGAGUUCCUACAUGACACUGGCCGACCCUCAGCGCUUCCGUUUCCUCAUCUCCAUCGGCCGAGAACAGAAAUUGCAGCACCACACUUCUCAGUGCCCAUCACCGAGGCCCGUCCAGAUCGCCACUUCCUUAGAGCCACGAUGAUGGAUUCCACCAAGGAAAUUUCCACUGAACCGGGUCACUGAAAAUCAGCCCCACGACCCCCUACUCCCACCCACCCCGAUGGAUCCAGCAACACCUGAUGCUAAACCUAAUUCUAGAUUUUUAAGUUACAUGAGCUAACGCAUUCUCUUUUUUGCUUCCGCAGUAUGAAUCGGGGCUUUGUCAUUCGUAACUCAAAGGGUCCUAAUUCACAGAUUCUUUCCUUUUCCCAAAAUGAGGACCAAAAAAGGCUUUGGCUAGUAUGAGAGUGAGGACGUCUGGGGCUUUGCUUUUGUUUUCGUUUGAGCCACCCAAACAGGAGGCCUAGAAUUCCGAGAAAGGACACCAGCUUCUUCAAAUGCAGAAGACUGGGAGACACCUGCUGAGGGGUCUUUGUGAUAAGAUAGCCUCAGCUUUGGACAAGUAGAGCCGAAAAGGGGGCAAGUUGUCUGGAAUAUCUUUUUAUUCGCCUCAAAAUGUAGUUUUCGUGAAUGCUUUUUCCUUAGUUUCUUAGGGCGCGGAAUCCAGCUUGGUUGAAUUUUGUUUAAACACAUUGGCAUAAAUCAUAAAUGCCCUUGGGAAAGAACAUUAACCAGCAACCAGCAACAUUAACAUCCCUCCACCCCCACCCGUCUCCUCCAGUUAAAUGGACUGGAACCUCUCCACCUUGUCCCCAAAGGAAACUUCCCUGCCUGUCCUAGAACAUUUCAGAAUUGGGCUCCUGCUGUAAGUUUUAACAUAGCCUCACCACAGCUCAGCCUCCUGGCCGGGCCCCUCCACAGUGAGAGGAAGGCAGGGACCUUGGCAUGGGAACUAACAGCUCUGGGCAUUUCCGGAGUCUGGCUCUUGAAGUUUUUUUCCUGGGGCAAAUUCUUCCCUUCCCUUCCCGCCUCCCCAUUCAGGAACCUCAGCGGUGGGAACAUAGCAAAGGCUUUGGUACCGAACAGAUCCGGGGACAAAACCUAGUCUGUCACAUUCUUGCUGUUUCAUCAUGGACAAGUUGCUUAACCUCUCUGAGCCUCAACUUCCUGCACAACGGGGAUGAUGAUACCACCCGCUAUGGAGGGCUGUUUCGGAGAAUUCGACAUUCUAAUGCUUGCACAGCCUGACAUAGUCAGUGUCAACGGGAGCACUUGUAUUAGUAGUCGUGGCAUUCUCACGAUUUUCGUUCCUCUGCGUGGAUGCACAUCUUCCUGUGGGUUCCGCUGGGUUCAAAUCCCAGCUCUGCCGAAUGAGAGCUCUGUGACCAGGAACAAGAUUGGCUCAGGGCAGAAAUGAAGAAGGACAGAGGGGAGAGAGAGAGACACAGAGAGACGGAGACUGAUGGCCAGCAACUUCCGCAGCAUUCGGCCACCCCGGUUUGAGACUCUCCAUUUUCCGCCUGGUCACCCUUGGAGAUCUAUCUGCCCCAUUCUUUCAAAAGCGAGGGAUUGAUCUUUGUUCCCCAGGAGGCAUCUGAGGUCCCGGAGUCUACAGACAGGGACUGAGAUGUGACAGAGGCUCUGACCACCGGCUCCAUGGUACUUUGUUACCCGGCACCCGAACAGACUAAGACAAUUGUCACUCACUGCUCGGAAUGCUUCUCCUUCGGCACAUUUGCCACAAGUCUGACGACUUAAGUGUGUGAUAGUUUCUAUAACAGGUAACGGUUUGAGAAAUGGGACCGUGCUUUCCUCUUUGCCUCUUUGGGUAAACGGUCCUUCCCCUUGGUCCUCAGCUAUCCAUCUGCCUGGGGAAGAUGUGCAUCCAUACAGAGGACAAAAAGCAGGAUCGUGGCGAUAUUCGGUUGCUUACAAAUCAAAACAGAUUUUGCCACAAGACAGUAGACUUCAAGGCCACCACAGUGAGAAAACAUUUAUUGAAUGUCCUUUAGGUACCAACUAGCAUAGCAAAGGCACAGUACUUUCCCAGACUGUCAGGAGAAUAGAGGUCUCCCUUUACCUAUGCCCCCAGGCUUGCUCCCUACGCAGAAGGAGCACGCGCACGGAUGAAGGACUUCAUCUCAGCUUCAUUCUCAGCUUCAGCCCAGCGAGUGCAGAGGCACCUAGGAGGGUGGUGGCACAGGGUAUGGACACAGGGGCUAUUGGGGCUCAAAUCCCAGCUCCGCCAUCCAAGAGCUCUGUGACCAGGAACAAAUUAUUUCACUUCUCCGUGCCUCGGUCUCCUCAUCUAUAAAACGGGACACGUCGCUUCUCGGCCUUUUGGCUAAGAUCAAGUGUAUAAAACAGGACACGGGCUACUUCCUCACAGUGUUGCUAGGCAUGCAUAUCUAAUGAGUUACUGCUUAGUAUAGACUCUGAUAUAUAAUGAUUCUAAGUAUCAGCUACUUCUUUAUUAUUUAUUUACUUAUUAUAUUUCUUUGUUUAAUGUAAGUAGAGCCAGCUCCAAAGGCAGAGCUUUGCACUGAUCCUCUGGGGGCUGGAGGAGGAAGUCGCGGGGAGGCCACUGCCCACCAGUUUAAUUUGGGAGACCAUGAAAAUGCUGUAAGUUGCAAGGAGGGAAGCCUUCCCCAGCGUUGCACUUUCGCUGGCUACACGAGUCCUCCCGUGGCCGGGAUGGGACUCGGGAUGUUCCUUUUCAUGGGGGAGACGCUUUGUUAGGGUCGUGGGCAGCCCCGCAGGGCCCAGAUGCGGUGGAGGCGAGGGCUCUGAGCCAGGGAAGGGACAAGUCAGCCAGGCAGGGCUCGGGGCCUAGACCGUGCGUGCUUCCAGCCGCCAGCUUCAGCCUCAAGGGUCAGAAGGACCAGUAGUGAUCACCGGCAACAGACGUGGCUGGAGACCUCGCCUCCCCACCUCCGCCUAGGAGCCUCGGGGACUCUCCUGGGACUCCAGACCCCGUGCCACCUUAGGGGGGCUGAGGAUGGAGAAGGAAAUCUGAGAGCGAGCAUGACCUAAAGACCUAAAGUAGUGGAUCAGAUUCAAUUGACCAGAUUAGACUAAGUCUAGCGUUCUUCCUCGUUGCCCCGGGACUGGGGUUUGUGAGAAAUCUCAGCUCAGUUACAGGAUACAAAGAAAGGACACUUUUUUCUGCAGAGGCACGUGAUAGCGUGGCCUAAGAUGCAGCCUCAACGUCAGUCCCCCAGGAUGCCGCUCCUGGGGGCGGAAUCGCACCUGUCGGAACGGUGGGAGGCGUUCCAUAAACACCCCCUCGAUCAGUGAGGGUGCCAUUCAAUCCUGACUCUGACCGGCGACCAACAGGUGGCCCGUGUCUGGGAGUGGGGGAGGAGGAACUCUUUUCUCGGCUUCCUUGGGGGAAGGGGGUAGAGGGGGGUCCCGCCGCCUGGCCUUCACCCUCCUCUUCAGCGCGAGCGGGCCCACCGACUUGUCUCUAAGGAGGGAGGGAAAGUGACAAAAGUGACGCGACGCCACCUCCACCAUUGGGGACUCAACCCUACCCACGUGGGCGCAUACACACGUGCACAGCCCUAAGCACGCCCACGCGCGCCCGCACGCCCACGCGCAUGCGCACCUGCACCCGCACGCACGCCCACGGGCAGGCGCACGCACGCGCCCUCCUGGCCGGCUCGCUGCGCUGGAGACGGGGGACGCCGUGGCGGGAAACGGAGGGCCACGCGCCCCAGAAGCGAGUCCCGCCCGCACCGCCGAGCGAACUGGGAGGCAGAUCCUGCCCCUGAACCUUGAGACGCCCGGAGCCCCGCCGACACCUCGACGCGCCUGUGACGAGGCCUGAAGCCGAGGAUCCGGCCGCCGCGCCUGCACCCCGACCCGCAGAAACUGGCUCUACCAAGAGGUGGCGUAACCUCGCGAGGAAGCCAGACGAGACGGAUUCAGACCCAUCUCUGCGGUUUACCACCUGUGUGAUUUCAGGCAA